CCCCCCCCUUUUCUUCCAGAAAUGACGAGCACUCACAACCCACAUUGAAGUCAACAUCUUUGGGUCAAGUAUGCCCUCAAUCACAGCCUUGCAAUCUCGGUGACUUCAGAGGGACUGUUUACCCAUCUGUCAAACGGGUAUAAUAUUUAUAGCUGCGCUCAAGCGUCCCUGCUGGUUCUUCAUUCAGCAUCUGUGCAGCCACGUUCUAUUGAUGGCCUGUUGUGAUUUCAAUGGAACAUCAUGGGAUGUACCUGGCACGUCAGGCAGCACUGGAUGGAGGUGCCCUUAGUCCAAUGUACCUGGCAUGGUGGUGAAGAGAAGGU
rnacentral:lncRNA from 1 species